rnacentral:lncRNA from 1 species
AAUUUCAUUACUUUUGAAAGUCAGAAGUAUUUUUAAAUAAUUAAAAAUAUGCACAAAAACAAUUAAUUCAAGAAAAAUAUCAAAAUUAAUCCAAAAAAUAAUUUGAAUUCAUAAAAUGAAAGAGGAAAAUAUUUGAUUUUUUUGGUGAAAGUCCCAUAUUUUUUGGAUUAAAAAUGAAAUUGAUAUGAAUUAUUUAAAAAUAAUGGAUUAAAUAAAAUAAUAAAAAAUUCAAAAAAAAAAGAGAGGCAUCUGAUCUGCCACCUCAAUUAUUGAAUUGCCACCUCACGCGCAUUCCACAUGUUCUC